rnacentral:rRNA from 1 species
AUUGAACGCUGGCGGCAGGCCUAACACAUGCAAGUCGAACGGUAACAGGAAGCAGCUUGCUGCUUUGCUGACGAGUGGCGGACGGGUGAGUAAUGUCUGGGAAACUGCCUGAUGGAGGGGGAUAACUACUGGAAACGGUAGCUAAUACCGCAUAACGUCGCAAGACCAAAGAGGGGGACCUUCGGGCCUCUUGCCAUCGGAUGUGCCCAGAUGGGAUUAGCUAGUAGGUGGGGUAACGGCUCACCUAGGCGACGAUCCCUAGCUGGUCUGAGAGGAUGACCAGCCACACUGGAACUGAGACGCGGUCCAGACUCCUACGGGAGGCAGCAGUGGGGAAUAUUGCACGAUGGGCGCAAGCCUGAUGCAGCCAUGCCGCGUGUAUGAAGAAGGCCUUCGGGUUGUAAAGUACUUUCAGCGGGGAGGAAGGGAGUAAAGUUAAUACCUUUGCUCAUUGACGUUACCCGCAGAAGAAGCACCGGCUAACUCCGUG